rnacentral:rRNA from 1 species
UACGUAGGGGCUAGCGUUGUCCGGAAUUAUUGGGCGUAAAGAGCUCGUAGGCGGUUCGUCGCGUCGGCUGUGAAAUCCCGAAGCUCAACCUCGGGUCUGCAGUCGAUACGGGCGGACUGGAGUUCGGCAGGGGAGACUGGAAUUCCUGGUGUAGCGGUGAAAUGCGCAGAUAUCAGGAGGAACACCGAUGGCGAAGGCAGGUCUCCUGGGCCGAUACUGACGCUGAGGAGCGAAAGCGUGGGGAGCGAACAGG